rnacentral:rRNA from 1 species
UACGUAGGGUGCAAGCGUUGUCCGGAAUUAUUGGGCGUAAAUAGCUCGUAGGCGGUCUGUCGCGUCGGCUGUGAAAACUCGGGGCUCAACCCCGAGCCUGCAGUCGAUACGGGCAGACUAGAGUGCGGUAGGGGAGACUGGAAUUCCUGGUGUAGCGGUGAAAUGCGCAGAUAUCAGGAGGAACACCGGUGGCGAAGGCGGGUCUCUGGGCCGUAACUGACGCUGAGGAGCGAAAGCGUGGGGAGCAAACAGG